GCUCAACCGAGGAAGUGCUUCGAAAACUGGUAAACUUGAGUGCAGAAGAGGAAAGUGGAACUCCAUGUGUAGCGGUGGAAUGCGUAGAUAUAUGGAAGAACACCAGUGGCGAAGGCGGCUUUCUGGUCUGUAACUGACGCUGAGAUUCGAAAGCAUGGGUAGCAAACAGAAUUAGAUACCCUGGUAGUCCAUGCCGUAAACGAUGAGUGCUAAGUGUUGGAGGGUUUCCGCCCUUCAGUGCUGCAGCUAACGCAUUAAGCACUCCGCCUGGGGAGUACGAUCGCAAGAUUGAAACUCAAAGGAAUUGACGGGGGCCCGCACAAGCGGUGGAGCAUGUGGUUUAAUUCGAAGCAACGCGAAGAACCUUACCAGGUCUUGACAUACCAUGAAAAGCUUAGAGAUAAGUCUUUCCCUUCGGGGACAUGGAUACAGGUGGUGCAUGGUUGUCGUCAGCUCGUGUCGUGAGAUGUUGGGUUAAGUCCCGCAACGAGCGCAACCCUUAUUAUCAGUUGCCAGCAUUCAGUUGGGCACUCUGGUGAGACUGCCGGUGAUAAACCGGAGGAAGGUGGGGACGACGUCAAAUCAUCAUGCCCCUUAUGACCUGGGCUACACACGUGCUACAAUGGUCGGUACAACG
rnacentral:rRNA from 1 species